rnacentral:rRNA from 1 species
GCAAGUCGAGCGGCAGCGCGGGGCAACCUGGCGGCGAGCGGCGAACGGGUGAGUAAUACAUCGGAACGUGCCCAGACGUGGGGGAUAACUACUCGAAAGAGUGGCUAAUACCGCAUACGAUCUACGGAUGAAAGCGGGGGAUCGCAAGACCUCGCGCGUCUGGAGCGGCUGAUGGCAGAUUAGGUAGUUGGUGGGAUAAAAGCCUACCAAGCCAACGAUCUGUAGCUGGUCUGAGAGGAUGAUCAGCCACACUGGGACUGAGACACGGCCCAGACUCCUACGGGAGGCAGCAGUGGGGAAUUUUGGACAAUGGGCGAAAGCCUGAUCCAGCCAUUCCGCGUGCAGGAUGAAGGCCCUCGGGUUGUAAACUGCUUUUGUACAGAACGAAAAAGCUCUGGCUAAUACCUGGAGUCCAUGACGGUACUGUAAGAAUAAGCACCGGCUAACUACGUGCCAGCAGCCGCGGUAAUACGUAGGGUGCAAGCGUUAAUCGGAAUUACUGGGC